rnacentral:rRNA from 1 species
AUUGAACGCUGGCGGCAUGCCUUACACAUGCAAGUCGAACGGUAACAGGUCUUCGGAUGCUGACGAGUGGCGAACGGGUGAGUAAUACAUCGGAACGAGCCCGAUCGUGGGGGAUAACGGAGCGAAAGCUUUGCUAAUACCGCAUACGAUCUACGGAUGAAAGCAGGGGACCGCAAGGCCUUGCGCGGACGGAGCGGCCGAUGGCAGAUUAGGUAGUUGGUGGGAUAAAGCUUACCAAGCCGACGAUCUGUAGCUGGUCUGAGAGGACGACCAGCCACACUGGGACGGAGACACGGCCCAGACUCCUACGGGAGGCAGCAGUGGGGAAUUUUGGACAAUGGGCGCAAGCCUGAUCCAGCCAUGCCGCGUGCAGGAUGAAGGCCUUCGGGUUGUAAACUGCUUUUGUACGGAACGAAAAGACUCUUUCUAAUAAAGAGGGUCCAUGACGGUACCGUAAGAAUAAGCACCGGCUAACUACGUGCCAGCAGCCGCCGUAA